UACGAUAAUGUCUUAAUUUUGUGCUUUCUUUAUUUUUCUGUAAUUUUGAAUGAUGUAUUUGAUGUUUUAUACAAUGAAACAAAGAAAAUAUUUUGUUUGUAUAUUCAAUAUGGUUAUUUUUUUUUAACGUCGAUUUCAAUUUUAUAUAUGAUCAUAUAAUAGUGCAUGGUUUGUUCUCUUACUCAAGAUUUUGAAAUUAACACGUUCACGAUGAUGACAUGAUUUCGUUGCGAUUGUGUCUUAUUUAUGCUACGUAAUAUGAUUUGUUUCUGCCAUAAACUUUGUUGUUUUGUAAUGUAAAAUAUUGAGAAAUAUAUUUUUAUACUGUUGUCAUAAAAAGAUACUGUAUGAUUUUAACUAAAAAAAACAAAGUUGGC
rnacentral:misc_RNA from 1 species